rnacentral:tmRNA from 1 species
UUUUAUCUUAUUAAAAUGCUUAUAAUAGGGCUGUCGGUUUACCGACUAUGGCGAUAAACGGCACGUGGAAUAGACGUAGCGGACCCGGGGGCGGUACCCGGCGCCUCCACCAAAUCCUUUCGUUUCCGGCGGGGACGAAAUUAUGGGGGGUGAAAUAGGAUCGACGCGCGCAGUAAAGACGUUUCUUUCGCUCGGCAUGGCACCACCGAUAUCGGGCCAUUGUUAUAGUUGCCAAUGACAACUAUGCGGAGGCACGUCUCGCCGCCUAAGCGGCUGACAGCCUGAAAAAACUCCACGGGGGUCGCACCUCGUGGCGGGGUUUGGAGCGCACCUGGCAACAGAAGCGU